UUUCCAUUUUUAGAGGGGGGACUACAACACCACAAUAAGAAUAGAGAAACAACCAUCAUCUUCUCCAGGAGAAAAACUCCAUUUUUUUCUUUAUAUACACACUUCACACAUCAUCACAGAGGAAACCCAUCACCCAUAACAAAAAGGGAAUCCUCCAUUUGUUUCAAUGUACACAGAUUGACACGACAACAAUUUCAAACACACAGCAAAUCGACACAACACCAGCAGUAACAGUAUUACCAUUCUUACUGCUAAACAGAGACCCAAAUUUCCUUUGAACGCAAUCUAUACGCACUCACCGAGCAUACACACACUUCCAUCAGAUACACACAUAUACGAAUGAGAGAGAUCCUGAGAGAGAGGACAGAGAGAAGAGAAUAAGUAAGCGAGAAAGCUGAUCGGAGAAGUGACGAGAAAAAGAAAAAACUGAUCGGAAAAUAGUGAAACACCGGCGAGAAACAGACCUGUUCGUGUAAAGUUUGGUGUGGGUCAUUCUCUCUUAGCAAUUUUAGUUCGAAUUAGCAAAAAAUAGGAUUGGGUUGGAUAGCUGGGUUUUUCGAUUGGCGAGUUUUCUUGUGGAGGUUGAUUCGAGGUUUCGGACACGGAUCCUAUCUUUUUGAUCGAGUGAUACUUGAUUAUGAUAAUCAAUUGAGUGGCCGGGAAAUGCCCUGAGGUAUUUGUGUUUAUUCGACAGGAUUUCACCGAGGUAUUUUGUAGCCGGAGGAUGUUAGUGACAAAGGCCCGAGGCAUCGGGUGGAGCUUAGUCUAGGAUUAGUUUAGAAUAGGAUUUAUACUUUUUGCAUUUUUCUAUUUUGGACUGUAUAAUUAGAUUGGACACUAUAUUUUGGAUUGUUUU